UUUCAUGUAUUCCAUUAAUUAAGGUUUAUAGGUCACUCCCUAAAUUUUCCGGUUGUAUCUAAAUUAAACAUGUACAGCACUUAGACAGUGCAAAUUAAUUGAAAGGAAAAAAGGAGACGAUCAAGAUUUUUUUUCAAUCAUGUAUUUAUAGAUGGUAUUUUGAUAAAAAAGAAAAUAAUCAUAAAUAAACAUCAAUAAACGUAACCGUGUUUUCAAGUUUUUCUCUCAGAUUACCGGAUAAAGGAAGAAAACCUUAUCAGUUUACAAUUUAACCGAAUUUAGAAUUCAGUGAUACCCACAAUCACCAAAGUGCAAGUAUGUUUUCACAUAUGAUGGAUCAUUCGUUGCGUAACGUCAUUUCAUUAUUGUUAGCAACCAUUUUAUUUCAUCCAAAUUGUUCAUCUACUCCAGAAUGUAAACAAUACUUCAAAGGUUGUUGUCCAGAUUACACAUGGAAUUAUGAAAGUCAGAAAUGCGAAAAAUGCUAACCAGGAUAUGGUGGAUUCAACUGUUCCCAGUCCUGUCCGUUUCCUUACUAUGGAGAAAAGUGCAAGAGGGAAUGUUAUUGUGAGAAAGACGUUUGUGAUAUUUCUCGUGGUUGUCCAAUGAUAUCAAUAGGUACAUGCAUAUCCUUCUUUUGAAUUGUCAAUGUUAACACAUAAAUGUAUAUGUAGCUUGCUCAUCGUCGACGUAUUUUGGGGUUAUAUUACCUUCUCCAUUUUUUUUUUUUUUAUAAAGGAACAACCAUUCUUGCCCAAUCAUGUUCUAUUCAAAACCAAAGGAACCCCGUUUUUUUACCUACCAGUAGUUCGUUUUCCUUCUAUAUAUGUUUUAAUUAUUCACUCCAUUUAAAAGAAUAGGAGACUCACUUUUUUCAAAUUGUUAAGAUUGAGUAUAUUCAAAUUUAAGAAAUCAAUGCUAUCGUUGA